CAGUCGCCGCGGGAAUACGAAGGGGGCUAGCGUUGCUCGGAAUGACUGGGCGUAAAGGGCGCGUAGGCGGCGGCCAAAGUCAGGCGUGAAAUUCCCGGGCUCAACCUGGGGGCUGCGUUUGAUACUUGGUUGCUUGAGUGGGGAAGAGGGUCGUGGAAUUCCCAGUGUAGAGGUGAAAUUCGUAGAUAUUCGGAGGAACACCGAUGGCGAAGGCAAUCCCCUGGACCUGUACUGACGCUCAUGCACGAAAGCGUGGGGAGCAAACAGGAUUAGAUACCCGCGUAGUCCCUGUCUCUUAUAA
rnacentral:rRNA from 1 species